AUGUUGACUCCCAUGCUUGGCUGGUAUUCAGGACCCACUUACACCAACAUGGCAUCCUUCUCCCCGUACCUGGCGGAGGCCAUGCACGUUCCAGGCCGGGACCGGGGCUUCUCCGAGUCCAUCAACCACAACAUGCAGGUCCCAGACCGCCUGGCCGUAGGGGGCGGCCAACCCAGCGCCCGGGGGCGAGAGGAGGAAGCAGAGUCCAGGAGGAGGUCCAAGGAGCCUCCGGCGUCCUACAACAUGCACAUUCCUGAUAGGCUGACGUACACAGCCCCUGAUUUGAGUCCCAGGCCGCAGUUUACGUCGUCCAAGCCGGCAAACUCCCCCCCGCCAACCCUGGAGACAUGCUGGGAACACCAGACCUACCGCGAGGGGGAGUUCUUCCACGGAGAACCCCUGCAUAGUCCGAUGAGGCGGUCGUACAGCGACCAGGGCCUAGGUAGGACGCCGCCCGGGACGCCAACUCACCUCAAACACGUCGGGGCGCUGCACGUGCACCUGGCCAGCCCUCCCCGACCCGGGGGGUCAGUCUGUCAGUACCCCGCGGUCCCCGGUCCUGCUAUGGAGGUACAGGCUCUGCCAGAGCCCCCCCCCGGUCUCCUGUCCCCUUACCCUCUGCUGCAGGGGGCCUGGCUGCUGGGCCAGCAGGCCUCACAGCGCCUCCUGCAGGCCGUCGGCCACAAGUACAGGUUUAAUUACCCAGAAACCCCAGCGCGGGUGAGGCCAGCGGCCGAGGCUUCAGGUCCGGUAAACAAGGGCGUGUCCAGGAAAAGAGCCACGGAGAGCUGGAGUCAGGACGAUGAGGGCGGGGCCGUGGUGGAGUUCAUCGUCCUCAGGAGACAGGUCCUGAAGAUGAGCCGACGACUGGCCGGCCUGGAGCGGCAGAACACUGAGCGGAGGAACACAGAGGCGCUGCUCUUCUCCCUGCUCCUCUCGGCCUGUCUGCUCAACGGCUGGCUCUGGAUCCGCAGAUAACGCCCCGGAUAACGUAAAGAAGACGCUCGGAUAACACCAUCGGUAGAGCCCUCUCUAAUCUAAGG
rnacentral:lncRNA from 1 species